GAUAGCUCAAUGGUAGAGCCCUCGGCUGUUAACCGAGUUGUUGUAGGUUCGAGUCCUACUC
rnacentral:tRNA from 1 species